AGAAGCCGUGUGAGGUGAAAGUCUCAUGCACGGUUUUGAAGACGAGUCGCCUUGGUGACAAGGUGGCUUAGUUUAAC
rnacentral:ncRNA from 1 species